CAAAAUGGCCGCCCCCGGUGCCGCGGCGCUCGGCGGCCGCCGCUGCGCGGGCAGGCGAAGGGAGGGGGCCGCGCCCUGCUCGGCGGCCGCGCCGGCGCCAGGCGAAGAGCGCGCGCAGCCGCCGCUCGCCUCCGCCCGCCUCGCUUCCGGCCCGCUGGCGGCGGUGGUGGCCGCUGUCACCGCUCCAAGGGCAGUGGGGCCGGGCUGGGGGCACCGGGUCCUGCGGCCUGCCGCUGUGGGGCCGCAGCGCUGGCCUGGGGGCCGCGGCGGAGCCCUCCCGGACCGGCCGGGCGCACUCUCGGUGCGGGCAGCUGCAGGGCCGGGGCGCUGCAGAGCGGCCGGCGGGCGGUUUGCGCGUGGUCGGCCGCGGCGAGGCCUGCGUUAGGGCGGCUGCCUGCCCGCCUGCGCCGGGCCGGGGCUGCCAGCGCUCCCUUAGCUGCCGCGGCGGCCCGGAGCGUAGUCGCAUCGUUAGUUGGAAGACAGCUUUCACGUUUCUAGGAUUUUUGGAUAAUAAUCUAAAGAAAGCUUUUAUGUGUAUUAGUGGUCAUUAGAUUUGGUAUUGACUCUGUAUAGCAGUCCUUGUAGUGUGAAUCUGUAUUGCCUGCUGCCUGCCUCAGGGACACUUCUCAUGGCUCUUCCUGUAUAUCCACCGUGAGGAAGAUUCUUGAGGGAUCGGGGAUGUGAGCUGUGUUAAUUCCAAGUUUGCAGUAGUCCGCGGAAUAUUUUACAGAAAUACAUCUGCAAAUUGAGAAAGUAAACUUUAAAAAUCUCAGCAAAACCGGGGCUGAAAAAAACAUCUCACAAACAACUAAUUAAUGUGAAGAAUAACGAAAGAGGUGGUGGUGAUUUGGUGACAUGACUGAAAGAAAGUCACAGCAAUAUGCAAAGAAGGCUCCAGACUGCCAGCUUGUGAGUCCAGACUCUUCCAGGGCCCUGUGUAGACCAUACAAACUUAUUCAAAACCUUAAAAUAAAGGUUAGGAGUACCAAA